UCGGCUUGGGUAAGUUCGGUUGGCCGGCAGGCUGCGGCUUCGGCCACGGGGUUUCCUCCAAUUAGAUCCAGGGUAAAAGGACGUCACUGUUGCCAUGGCGAUGCUGUUACCAACUCCCCUCAUCCUCCCCGCCACCCCAGCACUUCUGGGUGCGGCACGAGACCGAGAGGCGCGCACGACCUCCGUGGCGGUGGCCGAGUCUCCCGCCGCAGCCGCCGCCGCAGAUGGUGCGUCGCAUCUUGCUGGCCCCUGCAGCUGCGGCUCUGCUCGGCCUGGCUGAGGCUGGACUUCUGAGGGUGACAUAAUCGGCUGUUUUGUUGCACAAACGCCUUCCUUUCCUCCACCUUCCUAUUCGUGACAAAGAUUACCUGGUAUGAAGAAGCUGCUGGAACAAGAGGGAGCACACUGAACUUGGAGCCAGAAGAUCCUAAGUCGCAGCCUUGCUAUUGAUUUGUGAUUUUACCUUGAAUACUCUGAUCCUCUCUGAACCUCAGUUUUCUUUACAUGUAACCUAUAAAAAUAAUCCCUAUCUCAAAGAGCUGUCAUGGAGAUUAAAUGGACUAACACAUAGGAAGAUGCUGAGCGUAUAGCAAGUGUUCAGUAAGUAGCAGGUUUUUUUCCCCUUCUGUACCUCUGCUUCGGGGUGAAGCAUGGGGGAAGGGGAAUCCUGUCUUUCUGCAAGGAGCCUUAGAGCCUUAUAAAAUGUUACUGGAUGCUUAUCUCUGGAAUCAUUGCUGUAAUUAGUGGAGUUAAUGGUUUGCAAAAGGGCUGUAUUCAGUGCACAUUUCAGAAUGAAUGAUUCCUCCUGGU